UAUUAUGAUGAUAAAAACUAACAACAACAACUUGAAUUUCUUCAACCGAAUAACCCAGGAGGAUACAAUUACUUUGACAAUAGCUUUUUAACCCUGAUA
rnacentral:snoRNA from 11 species